AUCUCAUGAAAGAGGUGAACAGGACGGACCGGUCCAGAGGGCGGGGACAAAGAAAUACAAAGGCUGCGGUGUCCCAGAAAGUUUUAUUCUUUGCAGAGGACACGCACAAAAUAAGAGGUGAACAGGACGGACCGGUCCAGAGGGGCGGGGACAAAGAAGUAUAAAGGAUCCUGUUUCACAGAAAUAUUCUUUGCAGAGGACACGCACAAAGUAAGCACUUUGAAUGGACUUGUUAUUGAAAUGUGACACAGUGAUAAAGCUGCCACACCUUUACCUGAGCAGACAUGAGGAACAUCAUUUGAUUAACAGAUGAGCAGAACAGGAAGAACAACUUUCUUCAUCUUACUGGAAACGUCUCUUAAUUACACAAAACUGGUCACUCACUGAGGGAAGAUGAUCCCCUGGAUCUUGUUGCUCGUCACACUGACCGCUGACCUCUGUGCAGGAACAUUAGUUGUCAAUGUGAAACAGCCCCGCUAUGAUGCAAAGGUUGACGACAACGUCACUCUGGAAUGGACGUUCACAGCUGAAACCUCAAGAUCCUCCAACGCUCUCUCUAUUAUCUGUGAUCAGACCGUUGACCGGAGAGACUCAAAGAUCCUGUAUCACCUGCAUAAGGGUAUCGAGGUCCAAAGGUCUCAGGACAAACAGUUUUCAGGACGAGUCCAGUGUGACGAAGACAUCCUCAGAGAAGGACGACUCAGACUUCAUGUGUCCAGAAUCAGGAGUGAAGACUCAGGCCAGUACGUGUGUGAAGUCAACAGGAAUAAUGAUGGAAACUAUGGGAAAUGUCAACUCGUCGUCGGCAAGGCCACUGAUCAGCCCAAAAGCCAGAGACCAACCGUGACUUCACAACCAGAGAGAAAGAUGGAAUUGUACAUCCCACUGGUUGCAGCUGUUGUAGCUCUAGUUCUCACAGCAGUUGGGAUUACAGCAGCUCUGCUGGUCAAACGCCGCUCUGCUUCUAGUUGUGAUGGCAGAAAAUCUAUUAGUAAGACAGAAGAGCACUUAGCGAGAGAAAAGGUAGGUCACCCAGAGUGUGGACUUCUCUCUGACACUGUCUCUUUACCCUGUUAGUCUGUGAUCCCGCUCCUGCCUCCUAGCACAUUGGGAUGGAUAAAACUUGUAAAUGGGUCCGACACAACAGGAGAGUUAAGACUCAUGGUAGCAGCUGGGAGAACAACAGGGUGACAGAUGAAUGAACUCACUUAAAUCUAUGUCUUCAUGAUUCAUGACAUCCUGGGGUUUUUCUGGCCUCACCCGUAGACAGCUGAUUGUUCAGUGUUCCAGGAGUCAGCUAAAGCUAAAGAAAACAUUUUGAAUUAAGAACACAAGAGGCAGAAAACAGGUAUGAGAAAUAUAUCAUAUUAAAUAUAAAUACAUUAGUAUGGAUAAAAAGAAGGCAUAAACAUUAACACUACAGUGAUUUACUAAAUAAAAAACAAUAUGAAGAAGGCUACAUGGGAAAUAAUAAAUAGUGUAAUAAAAUCUAUCAUUUUCAACAGCAGGAUUUCCUGAAAGGAUGAAAACAGCCAAAGUGAUUUCACUUUAUAAAACUGGAGAUAAGCUACAGACCAGUACCACAAUACCACAGUUCCACAAUUUUCUAAAUAUUACAGAAAUUAUGUAGCCAGGUUUGACCAAUUCAUAGAUGGAUACAUUAUUUUAACUAGUAGUCAAUAUAGUUACUGGUGAUAAAAUGUAUUGCCUGUAAAUAAAAGUGGGAGUGUCCGCGGCGCAGAGAGCUGUGUCCCCUGAAAUCUGCAACAACCAAUUAAAGAGCAGCCUCAGGUCACGUGGCUGCCAAAAGUAUCAGGACCCAAAUUCACUUUGGUUCGGCCGGCGUCCUGCACCAGGUAAUAUGUAUGUCCAGAAAUUAACCAAAUACAAUUUGAAAACAACUUAUAUUGAAUGCUCACAGGUUCUUACGGUCUAACAGGAUAAUUGUACGAGUAAGCUAAUAUUAUAUAAUUAAACUAUGUUUAUACAGGUUUCUUUGUCUCAGGAUGUUGGGGGGGGCGGUGCCCCAGUGCUCCGUAUUAACCAGCCGCCACUGGAUCAUACCAUACUUAGCAAAUAUGGUAUCAGAGGGGUGGCAGAUCAUACUUUAAAGGGAUUGUUCACCCAAAAAUGACAAUUCACUCAUUAUCUACUCACCACUAGGGGGGGUGAAGUGUUUGAGUCCACAACACAUUUGUUGAGUUUCUGGGGUAAACAGAGCAGCAGCCGAAUCCAAUUCAACUGAAGAUAUUAGAGACUUAUCUUCAGACGUGAUAAAACAACAGAAAAACAACAUAACCUGCCUCCAUACUGCUCGUGUGGUGUCAUCCAAGUGUCUGCAAGCCCCGACGUUCAAAUUCGACUCGAAACAAGGUCAUUUACAUCGUGUUUUAAGCCUAAAACUCCACCACAAGUGGCUAAGCUAGCGGACGCUAGCAUUUCCGAGGACUGAAUGCACCUGGAAGAUACCAGAGGACGUUUAGGCUUAAAACCCGGUGUAAACGACGCCGUUUUGAAUUUUUGGGUGAACUAUCCCUUUAAACAUUGACACACUUGUCCCUCAUGUUACGAACUGUUUCUUCUAAUCCGUGUGGAAAAGAUAGUUCUUUUGUUGAUGUGUUCAGUUACAUGCAGCAUCUGUUGCACUUCUGUCCGUCCGAGUGACGAAGCCUCACAUGUGACUCUCUGAGGUUUCUGAGUAUCUUUCCCCUGUUAACUGUUUUUGUUAGUUUCACUCUGGUUGAGGGUUAAGAACAGAGGAUGUCACACCUUGUUAAGCCCUAUGAGCCAAACUGUGAUUUUUGAAUAUGGUCCAUACAAACACAACUUGAUUCAUUGAUUGAUUGAAUAUUGAAAAGAAAGUUUGUUCAGAUAAACUUUAUAAAAUCAAAAUUUCAUUUAGUAUAUUAAUGAUUUUGUUUAUGUAUCCAAACUGUUAAAGUGUAUUCUGUUUAUGUAUGACACUAUUUUAUUUUACUCAGGGAAAGAUUUAACACAGGUCCUGGAUGUGGUUGAAAAAGAAUUGGACAAAAUGAAAUAAUGGUUUGAUAUAAAUAAAUUAUCAAUGAAUCUUGAGAAAACAAACUUCAGGAGUUAGUUACCGAGUUAGUUACUAGCUUUAUUUAGUAACCGAGGGAAAAACUGUGAUGCAUCAAUAAAUAUGGAAGGUAUUGAAAUUUGAAGAGUAAAGGAAACUGAGUUUAUAUAUCUUGAAACAUUUUGUCGCACUUAAAUGGCACUUAGCACUUUGUAGUUUGGCUUUCUUUAAGAAAAUUGUACUUUCUUGAUUCUUGUUGUUCUGGGUUUGUUCCCUCAGGGUCGAGGCACUUAUUGUGAGUAGCUUUGGAUAAAAGCGUCAGCUCAAUGAAAUGUAACUACAUAACUAAAUGUAACUAAGAUUCUAGGUGUUAUGAUAGAAAUGGAAAUAACUUACCCAAAUGUGAAAAUAUCUAAAACAAGAGCUCUGUUACACAAGGUAAAAGUUUGAUAAUAAAGCAUUGUUCAUUUGAUAUAAAGCUCACUGAUUUGUUCCAUAUCUGACCUACUGUGAUGAGGUUUGAGGAAGUGCUUGCAAAACAUGUACUCAUUAAGUUUUAAAGCUUAAGAACGAUUUAUUUUGCAUUUAUAAUUAAUAAACAUUCCUUCAGUGCA